CAGCAUGUUUACAAGUGCUAUGGCUGGUUGUAGCUAAGGGAUCUCCAACUGCAUGGGAAAGCAACCUGGAGAGACUUUGACAGCUCAGGUCAGCCUAAUACCUGCAGCUGCCACUUGCCUUUCCUAUAAUA